GAAAGAUCUGCAAGCCACAUGUCAUAUGUUGAAGAAAUUUAACUAUUACAGACAGAUAGGAAAAUAGUAAAAGUCCAAUUGCGGUCAGUAGUUUUCUAUGGUAAAAAUAGGUUCUGAAGCCUCUCACUUGAACCAUCUCCUAGUUCAAAAAUUUAUAAUGACAGAGCUGGAAAAGUAAUAAUCAGCUGCUGCAGAGCUCCGGGAAGAAGCAGACAACAUUCUUUUCUUCAGUUUCUUUUUCAUCAGUUCGCCUAGGGAGGUCCUGUUUUCCUUUUUAGCCACUGCCGUAGUCUCUGAUAAUUCAAUUGCUGACCCAAAAAGAUAUCCCUGAA